rfam:Schistosoma haematobium scaffold93_17, whole genome shotgun sequence.
ACUCAGCUGAGGAGUCCCACAGUAGGAUGAAACGCGCAUCCUGGAU